UGAACGCUGGCGGCGUGCUUAACACAUGCAAGUCGAACGAGAACGGAUUAUAGCUUGCUAUAAUUGUCAGCUAAGUGGCGCACGGGUGAGUAAUAUAUAGGUAACGUGCCCCAAAGAAGAGGAUAACAGAUGGAAACGCCUGCUAAGACUCUAUAUGCCUUUAAGACUCAAGUCUGCAAGGGAAAUAUUUAUAGCUUUGGGAUCGGCCUGUACAGUAUCGGUUAGUUGGUGAGGUAAUGGCUCACCAAGACAAUGACGCUUAACUGGUUUGAGAGGAUGAUCAGUCACACUGGAACUGAGACACGGUCCAGACUCCUACGGGAGGCAGCAGUGGGGAAUAUUGCACAAUGGACGAAAGUCUGAUGCAGCAACGCCGCGUGGAGGAUGACACAUUUCGGUGCGUAAACUCCUUUUAUAUGGGAAGAUAAUGACGGUACCAUAUGAAUAAGCACCGGCUAACUCCGUGCCAGCAGCCGCGGUAAUACGGAGGGUGCAAGCGUUACUCGGAAUCACUGGGCGUAAAGAGCGUGUAGGCGGAUAGGUAAGUCAGAAGUGAAAUCCAAUAGCUCAACUAUUGAACUGCUUUUGAAACUGCUUAUCUAGAAUAUGGGAGAGGUAGAUGGAAUUUCUGGUGUAGGGGUAAAAUCCGUAGAGAUCAGAAGGAAUACCGAUUGCGAAGGCGAUCUACUGGAACAUUAUUGACGCUGAGACGCGAAAGCGUGGGGAGCAAACA
rnacentral:rRNA from 1 species